ACGGAACCGAAGUCGUUCGAAAUAGGCCUUGAAGCCUUUUUGCGGACAGAUAGGAGCCGAUGACUCCGUGCCCUCACCGUUUACUGCAUCCCAGCGCCCGAGCGAGAAUUCAUGGACCACGGAAUCGUCACAAAUCGUGCGACACGUGGGUCACGAAUCCCGUUUCGAGUUUCACCCGCAACCGCACCGAGAAAACGGGCAGCCUUAGGCGAACGGCUAAAAGAUUGCCAACCGAAUUCCAUCUAGUAGGUACAAAACACAGGAAACCAACGAACGGCCAAUAUAAAUUGUGCCAGCAAUGAAGAGGAUAGCACGGUCGGACGUCGCUACGCGGAGCAGGGAUCCAA
rnacentral:misc_RNA from 1 species